rnacentral:rRNA from 1 species
CUACGGGGGGCUGCAGUAAGGAAUAUUGCGCAAUGGAGGCAACUCUGACGCAGCCAUGCCGCGUGCAGGAAGAAGGCCUUAUGGGUCGUAAACUGCUUUUAUUUAGGAAUAACCCCCUGCUCGUGAGCAGGGCUGAAGGUACUAAAAGAAUAAGCACCGGCUAACUCCGUGCCAGCAGCCGCGGUAAUACGGAGGGUGCAAGCGUUAUCCGGAUUUAUUGGGUUUAAAGGGUGCGCAGGCGGGCUAUUAAGUCAGUGGUGAAAUCCCGGGGCUCAACUCCGGAACUGCCGUUGAUACUGGUAGUCUUGAAUUUGGUUGAAGUGGGCGGAAUGUAGCAUGUAGCGGUGAAAUGCAUAGAUAUGCUACAGAACACCAAUCGCGAAGGCAGCUCACUAAGCCAAAACUGACGCUCAUGCACGAAAGCGUGGGGAGCAAACAGGAUUAGAUACCCGAGUAGUC